UACGUAGGGGGCAAGCGUUGUCCGGAUUCAUUGGGCGUAAAGAGCGUGUAGGCGGCCAGAUAGGUCCGUUGUGAAAACUCGAGGCUCAACCUCGAGACGCCGAUGGAAACCAUCUGGCUAGAGUCCGGAAGAGGAGAGUGGAAUUCCUGGUGUAGCGGUGAAAUGCGCAGAUAUCAGGAAGAACACCCGUGGCUAAGGCGGGUCUCUGGGCAGUAACUGACGCUGAGGAGCGAAAGCGUGGGGAGCGAACAGG
rnacentral:rRNA from 1 species